rnacentral:lncRNA from 1 species
ACCAUACCAGAAUCACCGUUCUUCAAGAACUUAGGCUCCUUCUCGAGUUCCUUACCAGAACGCCUGUCAAUUUUGGUCAAGAUUUCAGCAAACUUGACAGCAAUGUGGGAGGUGUGACAGUCCAGCACUGGGGCAUAUCCAUUUCCAAUCUGUCCUGGAUGGUUCAUGAUGAUGACCUGGGAAGUGAAGCUCGAAGCCCCCUUAGCCGGGUCAUCCUUGGAGUUGGAUGCAACAUAUCCACGUUUCAGAUCCUUAACCGCAACAUUCUUGACGUUGAAACCAACAUUGUCACCAGGAAGUGCCUCCUGAAGAGCUUCGUGAUGCAUCUCAACAGACUUAACUUCAGUGGUCAGACCAGUAGGACCAAAAGUCACAACCAUACCAGGCUUGAUGAUACCAGUUUCAACGCGACCAACAGGGACAGUUCCAAUACCUCCAAUCUUAUAGACAUCCUGAAGUGGGAGACGCAGGGGUUUGUCCGAGGGCCUCUUAGGCUCAUUGAUCUGGUCAAGAGCCUCAAGAAGCGUUGGACCCUUGUACCAGUCUAGGUUUGUUGAUCGCUCGAUCAUAUUAUCUCCCUCAAAACCAGAGAUGGGGACAAAGGGGAUCUUGU